rnacentral:rRNA from 1 species
GAUGAACGCUGGCGGCGUGCCUAAUACAUGCAAGUCGAGCGAACGGACGAGAAGCUUGCUUCUCUGAUGUUAGCGGCGGACGGGUGAGUAACACGUGGAUAACCUACCUAUAAGACUGGGAUAACUUCGGGAAACCGGAGCUAAUACCGGAUAAUAUUUUGAACCGCAUGGUUCAAAAGUGAAAGACGGUCUUGCUGUCACUUAUAGAUGGAUCCGCGCUGCAUUAGCUAGUUGGUAAGGUAACGGCUUACCAAGGCAACGAUGCAUAGCCGACCUGAGAGGGUGAUCGGCCACACUGGCACUGGGACACGGUCCAGACUCCUACGGGAGGCAGCAGUAGGGGAUCUUCCGCAAUGGGCGAAAGCCUGACGGAGCAACGCCGCGUGAGUGAUGAAGGUCUUCGGAUCGUAAAACUCUGUUAUUAGGGAAGAACAUAUGUGUAAGUAACUGUGCACAUCUUGACGGUAACUAAUCAGAAAGCCACGGCUAACUACGUG